CCAUUCACACAUCCAUUUACAAAAUGUAUCUCUGUCUUCGAUUGUAUUUAAAUUUUUCAAACGCAAAUGACUGUGUUGUAAUUGAUAAUUAUCUAUGCUCUAGACAGGUGCAGGUUUCACCUCAUUGUGAAGAUCGCGAGGAACUCAUGUUUAUUAGAUUUCAUUAAUUUAAAGGCGUUCGAUUUUAUUCCUUUGUCAUGGAGUUUCAAACUGUUCCUUUUAAUGUGACAACUCUAUUCGCCAAGGUGAAAAGGAAACGAAUCAAAAAGAAGUGCUAUCCAAACUCACCUCUUUUCAAGGUCAUUUGGCCAAUAAUAUACAUCGUGCGAAUGUUCGGUUUCGCUCCUUACAACUUCUCGCAAUAUCGCUGGACAUCAUCGAACAUCAAUUUACUCUUCACGGUGAUCGUCGCUAUUGUCUAUAGUUAUGUAUUAUAUGAAGUGUUUACCAAGUUUCUAAAUGUCAAAAGAGAAACCUUGAGCAUUGGAAGAAUAGAGAAUACAAAGGUAAUCAUCAAUUACAGCGUGGUGAUGUAUGAGCUAGGUUUAACGGCAUUCAUGAGACGCAGUUUUAUCAGGAUUUGGAAUGCGCUGCAAGAUUUCGACGAGAAUAUGAGACGUUUGGGUUAUCCUCGCAAAGAGACGAGGACUGCGAUUGUUGCGUGGUUUCUUGUAAUUAUGAUCACGAUUAUCUGGAUAGCCAUUAAUCGUAUCGGAAUGUACGCCUUUUUAGAAACAUGGACCAGCAAUAUGAAAUACAUGAUUCCCUAUAUUGGUACGUCGGUAGCUAUCUACAAGUUCGUGGCGAUAACUAUUUUUCUAGGUCAGCGGUUUGGUCACCUUAAUUCAGUUGCAAUACAAAAUCUACCAUCGACGUCAAUGGGAUGCACCAAAAUAAUCAUUAGCAAGAAGACAAUCCUGAGUCUACAUAACGAUUUGAUGGUCGCCGCCGAGGAUUUGGAGUCACUGUAUUCGUUGUCGUUGCUCUUCUGGCUUUGCAAUUUGUGUCUGCACACCGUCAGCAACGUAUAUUUUAUAAUCGAAUGGAUGAUUGUGAAGAAGUGGGAUGUGCAAUCAUGGCCGCUAGUUCUCUGCAUAUGCACUUGGUUACUGGCAUUUCUCUUCCAGCUGUUACUACUUCAUAUCGCUUGUCACUUCGCUUCAUUCCAAGUAAACUUUUCUGCAGAUGCACAGUAGAAUAUCCCUUUAUACUUAGAUAAUAAAGAAUGUCAAGAUGACAAUGCAAGACUGCGAUGAGAAUCACACGUGCAAACUUUGGACAAUUCUGCAUGAAAUAAUGGCCGAUGUGCUAAUUGCCUAGGUCCAAUUUUGAUCGAAUGGCAAGUAAAAUUGAUGAAAAAAGAAAAUGAAGAUAACGUCGAAUAUUCG
rnacentral:misc_RNA from 1 species